rnacentral:lncRNA from 1 species
GCGACUCCGGGCUUCAUGAGUUUAGGAGCCCCACUUUAGAGUUCAAUAUGUUAGAAAAAUAUAUUUGUAUAUUUUUAUACAGCUAGAACUUUAGUAUUUGUCAAAAUUUGAAGUUCUCUAUGAAUGUUUUCACUUUUUUUGUAUAUUUAACCAUGGUAUAUUUGAUUUUUAUUUUUUUGAAGGCUUUAAAAAUAUUAGCUGCCAGAGCCUCGCAUUUUCUCUGAAAAUUCCUGCAAAUGGCUAACGAAACAAAAAAAUAUAUUCUACUUUUGGCUUCUUUAAUUUUCAAAAUAUCUAUUUCGGGUAGAUUGUUUUCUACGAAAUCGUAAAACGUGAUACUGAUCGAUAGAUCUAUCUCAGACUAAACAAACAUUAUAAAAUUAUGGGUGAAAGCGGAAGUGAUUAGAAAAUAUUCCCAAAAACUUAUCCGAAAACAACUUAAACAAACUAAGCACCACUGCCAUAUUGGAUGAGAAGCGCAACUAGUUACAUGAUCACUCGUCGACUAACGGAAAAUUUGUUAAUAUCAUUCGUGAACUGACAAAAUGAUAAAAACCUACUAGCUACUACGAGAUGCCUUAACGGCGAUUCAAAUUUUUGUUUGCUUAUUUAGAAAAAUAUAUAAAAUGAAAAGAAAACUUUUUCAUUGCUGGCAGACUAUCGAAAGUGGAAAUGUGAUCAAUGUAUGCAUCCAUCCAGUGUAUAACAGAUGAUAGUAAAAAUGGUAAAAUAUUGCAUUUAAAACAAAAUUCAAACUUAAGAAACAAUCAAGUUCUAAUAAUAUUUUACUGGAACUUGAUUGUUUUCCUUGAUUGCCACUGUUGUAUAUAUUCCUCGUAUAUUUAUAAGGAACAUAUACAUAUUUACCGGCCCUGGCAAAUUAAAAGUAAACCGGCUCUCAUAAGAUAUUAAUACGAGUAUAUAAAAAUAUGCAAAUAUCGUUUUUUGAAGGGGAGGAGAAGGAGUUAAUUAAUAAUUAAGGAAUUAGAAUAAUAAACAUAUAUGUAUAUGUAUAUAUAUAAUGGAUGUAAUAUAUUUAAACAUUUUAAUAAAUUAUCCCAUUA